GUAGGUCACAUCAUUGUGCCCCAUCUUUGUUUUUUUCUUGAAUUGAACCUCAGUUUCUCAUGCCAGUGCGUCAACUAAAUGUCUAAACAUAAAAGAUAAUAAGCUAUAUUUAUUUUCAUUCAUAUGAUAUUUAUACACUCCAAUUUUGCUAUGAUUAUUUCUCACAUGUUAGAUGUAACUUUCUAGUUCCUAAGGAGUAACGACUGUGUACUCUUUCUGAUCCUAUCUUUCUUUAUUUACAGGAUCACUCUCUUGAUUUCCAUGCUUUAUGUGCUCUAUAUGCUGUCACAGAUGUGACAAGCGAAAUAGAAAAUGGUACUUAAUUUUGAAGGCUUUGUGUUGGGCAGCUGUAGAAUAUUUUAUGCUGAAAGUAGUAGAAUAUGUUGAAUAUUUAAGACUACUUGAAUACUUAAAGAACAUUUUGUCGUUGAUGACAGUGUUUAAUGUUUUAAACUAAUUUGUGGAUUGUUAAAACAAUGUUGAAUGUUUUAAACUAAUUUGUGGAUUGUUAAUACAAUGUUGAAUGUUUUUA